AAACCAACCAAUGAGUCUGCUUACGUGAAUGUGUUUCUGCAGAAAUUUAGAGAAAGCUGGCAAUAGUAGAGCCAUGUUUUGAGACAUUGAAAUUCAGGCAUUGAAAUUAUUAAGGUCCCUGAAAAUGGCUAUAAGA